GUCCACUUGGUCUAGGGGUAUGAUUCUUCCUUAGGGUGGAAGAGGUCCCGGGUUCGAUUCCCGGAGUGGACC